CCUACGGGAGGCAGCAGUAGGGAAUCUUCCGCAAUGGACGAAAGUCUGACGGAGCAACGCCGCGUGAGUGAUGAAGGCUUUCGGGUCGUAAAACUCUGUUGUUAGGGAAGAACAAGUGCUAGUUGAAUAAGCUGGCACCUUGACGGUACCUAACCAGAAAGCCACGGCUAACUACGUGCCAGCAGCCGCGGUAAUACGUAGGUGGCAAGCGUUAUCCGGAAUUAUUGGGCGUAAAGCGCGCGCAGGUGGUUUCUUAAGUCUGAUGUGAAAGCCCACGGCUCAACCGUGGAGGGUCAUUGGAAACUGGGAGACUUGAGUGCAGAAGAGGAAAGUGGAAUUCCAUGUGUAGCGGUGAAAUGCGUAGAGAUAUGGAGGAACACCAGUGGCGAAGGCGACUUUCUGGUCUGUAACUGACACUGAGGCGCGAAAGUGUGGGGAGCAAACAGGAUUAGAUACCCUGGUAGUCCACACCGUAAACGAUGAAUGCCAGUCGUCGGAUAGUAUACUAUUCGGUGACACACCUAACGGAUUAAGCAUUCCGCCUGGGGAGUACGGUCGCAAGAUUAAAACUCAAAGGAAUUGACGGA
rnacentral:rRNA from 1 species